AUUGCCCCAGUAGCGGCGAGUGAAGCGGCAAAAGCUCAGAUUUGGAAUCGCUUCGGCGAGUUGUGAAUUGCAGGUUGGCGCCUCUGCGGCGGCGGCGGUCCAAGUCCCUUGGAACAGGGCGCCAUUGAGGGUGAGAGCCCCGUGGGACCGUUUGCCUACGCUCUGAGGCCCUUCUGACGAGUCGAGUUGUUUGGGAAUGCAGCUCUAAGCGGGUGGUAAAUUCCAUCUAAGGCUAAAUACUGGCGAGAGACCGAUAGCGAACAAGUACUGUGAAGGAAAGAUGAAAAGCACUUUGAAAAGAGAGUGAAACAGCACGUGAAAUUGUUGAAAGGGAAAGGGUAUUGCGCCCGACCAUGGAGCGUGCG
rnacentral:rRNA from 1 species